UGCUGAGAGAAGUAGCAGUUAC
rnacentral:miRNA from 1 species